rnacentral:rRNA from 1 species
UCAGACGAUGCGUCAUGCAUAUCAAUAAGCGGAGGAAAAGAAACUAACGAGGAUUCCCCUAGUAACGGCGAGUGAAGCGGGAAGAGCUCAAAUUUGAAAUCUUAAAGGGUUUCCCUUUACGAAUUGUAGUUUAAAGAAGUGUUUUCUGUUGAGGUUUUGGUAAAAGUUCUUUGGAAUAGGACAUCAUAGAGGGUGAGAAUCCCGUAUUUGACCUUUACUUUCAACUUUGUGAUACACUUUCAAAGAGUCGGAUUGUUUGGGAAUGCAGUCCAAAAUGGGUGGUAAAUUUCAUCUAAAGCUAAAUUUUGGCGAGAGACCGAUAGCGAACAAGUACCGUGAGGGAAAGAUGAAAAGAACUUUGAAAAGAGAGUUAAACAGUACGUGAAAUUGUCAAAAGGGAAGCGUUUGACACCAGUGUUGUUUUUCUGAAAAUCAAUUAAAGAACUGUUUAUGCUAAGCUGUUUAGACUUUAUCAGCUAACUGUUUAGUUUUGAGCUUUUCUUUAAUGCACUUUUCAGUUAACAAGUCAACAUCAAUUUCUUUUGCUGUAAAAAAGCUUGAGGAAGGUGGCUUGAGAUUCGUCUUAAGUGUUUAUAGCCUCUUGCCUAUGCAGUCGGAGAGAUUGAGGUCUGCAGCGUAGAUCCUUCGGGGCUAAAUGCAUUUGUGCUAAGUUAUAGCAUUUUAUAGACAACUUGUUGACUAUGAUUUGUCUUGUAGCUUGCUCGCUUAUGUUAUUUUACCUACGCUUAGGAUGUUGAAUCUGUGCGAGACUAC